rnacentral:rRNA from 1 species
AAGUYGUAMCAAGGUUUCCGUAGGUGAACCUGCGGAAGGAUCAUUAAAAAAAGAGAAACGUCCCGUUUUUUUUCAUAAGAAUGGGUUCUAUUCCCUUAAACCGUGUCUACAUACCUUUGUUGCUUUGGCAGGCCGCCUUCGGGCGUCGGCUCCGGCUGAUAGUGCCUGCCAGAGGACCCAAACUCUAUGUUUAGUGAUGUCUGAGUACUAUAUAAUAUUUAAAACUUUCAACAACGGAUCUCUUGGUUCUGGCAUCGAUGAAGAACGCAGCGAAAUGCGAUAAGUAAUGUGAAUUGCAGAAUUCAGUGAAUCAUCGAAUCUUUGAACGCACAUUGCGCCCCUUGGUAUUCCGAGGGGCAUGCCUGUUCGAGCGUCAUUAUAACCACUCAAGCCUGGCUUGGUAUUGGGGCUUUCGCGUGUUCGCGGCCCUUAAAAUCAGUGGCGGUGCCGUCUGGCUCUAAGCGUAGUAAUUUCUCUCGCUAUAGGGUUCCGGUGGUUACUUGCCAAAACCCCCCAUUUUUUCUAGGUUGACCUCGGAUCAGGUAGGGAUACCCGCUGAACUUAAGCAUAUCAAUAAGCGAGGGAAAAA